rnacentral:lncRNA from 1 species
UUAGCUCGCAAAAAUGUUUUAUUAUGUAAAUUCCUUUGUAGCUAUACAAUUCACUAAGAAAUUUAUAAACAAUUUCUAUAACUUAUGUUGUGUUCACACGGAGACACCAAUAAAUCUUUGCCAUUAGAUCAUCAAUCCUGAUAUUUGAGAAAAUGCAGUGAGUUUUAAUAACAUAACUGUUUUACUUGGAGGAAAUGACACACACACAAAAAUGACUGCAGAAAUUGUGAUUGGACAGCUAAAGCAAAUGUGGUGUAGCUACUUUGUUGAUAUGGCAUAAAAGCCAGCUGUGACAUAAUCCAUCUUUUUCAUGUCAUAUUAUUGAGAUGUUUACUUCAACAAAUAUUUACCAUAAUGUAUUUACUCUAAGUGACUUAAAUGUAAAUUCACCUAAACUACAAAAUAAGAGAUGUAAACAUAUCCCACCUUAUUGUGGUAUAAAUAAUUUUUAUGAAUUCAAAACUACUUUGGCAACCUUACUAUCAGAAUAUCUUAAAUAUUCAAAACACAGGUAUUAAAUAGAACAUUGUUAAAAAUUGUUUCUUUCUCUCUUCCUGAUAAGAUUAUAAAAUAAGUAAUGCUUUAAUUCUACCACAUUAUGAACAUAAAUUAUUUGAUUAUAAGUGGACAUAUAUUCUAAAUCCUAGUUCUAUGUUUUAAGUGCUUUUAAAAAUUAGUCUUCUAAUUGACUUUUCAGAAUGUUUUCAUACUGCAUGUGUAUCAGCCUAAAUACUUUACAAAAGUUUAUGCUCUAUCAGGGAAGCAUGACUAGCAAACUGAGUCAGGGUCCUAAUUAGGAACACCUUUUAAAGCCUAUUUAUUUUCUAAAUUAAGCAACAUCCUCUAAGGUCAUCAUAGUUAUUAAGUGAAAACACUGCCUGAGUAUAAUUCUUGAGGUGAAACAGACUAAAAUUCACAAGAAUUUAUGAUACUCAUAUAUGUUGCCUAAAAUAAUAGGAGGAGGUGAGUUUAGAUAAAAUCAUUCAAAUUCCUUUCAGCUCUCAAGUUAGAGUAUUUCUAAUGGAGACAGGAGACUUCUGCUCAAAUACCUGAUUAGAUCUGAUCAGACCUGCCAACAGAUUUUAAACAACUCUAUAAUUAAAAUAAUUCUUCACCCCUCGUUAGUAUCAGCCUUUAUAAAACACACAAAUAUAUAAACACACUAAAGUGUAUAUAUUAGUACCUGAAACCUUCAAUCAACUGUCUUAAUGGCUUACCAUACCUCUACGUUUGAAGUCAGUUUUUAUAUAUAAAUUUUCUCUUUACUCUUAAUCAAAAACGAUUAGCCCCUUACCCCCUUCAUACUUGUGCUAGCAGGCCACACAAAGGAAGUUAUUUCUUACACCAUUUAGUUGGCCUCUAUUUUGAAUGGAUGCAGUUGUUUAACAAAUACUACCAAUUCUUCUUGUGAAUGUAAAGUCUAUUCCAAAAUAUUCCUCAUGCUAUGUACAUAGUGCUAACACAAAUCUGAUGCUCAAUAAAACAUUUGAAAUGAACAUGGUAAAACCAUCUUAAAUCAGAGAGGAAAGGUUUUCACAAACAUUUGUUAGCAUUUACAAAGCCCCUUGAUUCACCAAUUCCUAUUUCCACUUGUGAGAAUAACAGUCUGCAUUGAUUUCUAGAGUGUGUUGGAGGGGGAGAUGAGAGAAUAGGGGAGUUAGGGAAGGAGGGCAAGAGUACUUCAGAUAGAAGAAAUUUGACAUUUUAUUAUACAAUAUUAUACCAAUAUAAAUGGAAUCUAGAACUACUUGGCAUAUUAAAGCUAGGAUUAUUCCUAGAACCUUAGGUAGAUUGAUAAACAGGUUAAAAAAUUCUUAGGUAUAAUGGAUAAAGUCUUAUCUGUUUGGUAAACAGAAAAGUAUAAUUAGCAUAUCCAUUUGAAGAAGCUGUGAAGGAUAAUUUAAAUUUAAGACCCUAAUAAAAAUGUCUUUAAAAAAGGAUCUAUACAUAAAAAUACCGACAGAGAGUAGCUCCCAGAUGAAAAAUCCAUAUGUGAGAAAUUUAAGUGUGAUUCUGAACUUCUAAUAUUUAUCAUUUAAAGACUGGAAUAAUGAUUAAAAAAGGCAGCAAUGUUCAUUGCCAACAAAUUAUUAGAGUUUAUCUCAGAAGUGUAAACAAAGUUGUACGUUAAAGAACAUACCACCCAUGAUAUUUAUUUGUUUAUAUCUAUACAACUGUAUCUUUUUAAUCUAUGGUUGUCAUAUUCUGUCCAUACAGUUAGAACAGAUUUUCUUUUUAAUUCAGGUAAAAACUGUCAAACAGUUAUUAAUUACGUAGACUCCCAACAUGAUUUUACUUGUUCACUUUUCAACUUACCAUGGUAUCAUAUAGCAGCCUAAAUUAUAUUUAUCUGUUGGUAGAGAAUGGAAUGUUCAAUUAAGACUAUAGUUAUUUACUAAUUUAUACUGUCUUGGCUGGGAAAUACAGGGAUAAGAGAAUUUCUGACAUAAUGUUUAUGUUACUUUUCUCUUAAAAAAUUAAUAUAUUUGAAUAUAAUAAUUUAUUUGGUAUCUUGGCUAUUAAUGUUUAGGACUUAACUUCCUAAAAUUUAUUAUUAUGGAUUCUGAAUAUUUGAAAUAACAUCAUUUCGAUUACAUUGAAGAUUUUUUUUCUCCCCUCUCAUACUAAAUGGCAUUCCAAAAUACCUACUAUUCAAUUCUAAGUUUUAUCAAGACUACACAGAAGUAUUCAGAAAUCACUAGGAAAUGAAUCUUACUGGGCAAUUUUAACAUUCUCUCUCUCCAUAGACUUAAAAAAAAAUCCUGACAAGGAAAAUAUACACAUCCUUAAAGGGAAUCAGAUCUUCUAUCAGGAUGGACAAUCAAAACUCUCCAUAUUAACAUGCUUAUAACUUAAUAAGUAUAUAUGAACUGGAGUAAUUUAAUUAUAUGUGAAAAUUACAACAAAACCCUCAUUUCAGUUGAGGGAUUAGAUUCAAAAAUAAAUCAGUAACAUUUUAUUCCUUGUUUGAAGUAUCCCAACCAACAGACCAGAGUGAACAAAACUUGAAGUGAACUGAAAUGAAUGCUUUAGAGUAAUAAUUUAAACACUGGUAGAAAUAAAUCACAAUGAACUGUUCUAACUUUAGCUGAAAAUAUUAAUAUGUUUAACUUUAAUAUGCAUAUUAGGUGCCAUUCCUAAAGUUAGGGAUAAAAUAAAUAGAAAAUUUGAUUAAUAAAGCAUCUUUUGACUUGAGCUGCUAAACUGUAACCCUUGUCCCCCGGGAAAGGAAUGUGCAGAUUUUCAAUAAUUCCGUAGCAGCAGCGCACUCACUCAGUAGAACGCAAAUCAUCUUUUUUUUCUUGUGGCAAAAUACAGGAAUUGAGUAAGAAAUAAUUUCCAUACCCUUUUUUGAAUGCGUAACUCUUCAUACAAGAAGCUAUGUUUUAAAAUGUGAACUGAUUCAAAAUGCAUACAAAUGUAAAUGUACAAUAUACAUAUAUAUACCUCCUAGUGGGGUCAAAUGAGUGCCUUUUCAUUAGACAUACAAAGAUGUCUCAAGGCACUUAAGGGGUUAAGACACAAUGCAUGCAUUCCUUUACAUCAAGAAUGUGAAAUCACAUGAUUUGGAAUAAGCCAACCUUAUGAUAAAUAUGUUACAUUAUUAAAUUCAAGAAAAUCUGUAGAUUCAUAUUUAUACUUUCUAUAAGAUGCUGGUAAAUGGACAAUGUGCAGCAUUUCCUGGGAAAAGCAAAUUCCAUCUUUCUUCUCAUGAACAGCAGGUCUCUACAGGGGGAGUACUGGGAAAGAUGUGCUGCAUCCAUAGGCAGUGUAUUGGCUAAUAUUGAG